rnacentral:rRNA from 1 species
CCUUCGGGUGGUCGCCGUGGGGAAUAUUGGACAAUGGGGGCAACCCUGAUCCAGCCAUGCCGCGUGUGUGAAGAAGGCCCUCGGGUUGUAAAGCACUUUCAGUGAGGAAGAACGCCUGGUGGUUAAUACCCAUCAGGAAAGACAUCACUCACAGAAGAAGCACCGGCUAACUCCGUGCCAGCAGCCGCGGUAAUACGGAGGGUGCGAGCGUUAAUCGGAAUUACUGGGCGUAAAGCGCGCGUAGGUGGCUUGAUAAGCCGGUUGUGAAAGCCCCGGGCUCAACCUGGGAACGGCAUCCGGAACUGUCAAGCUAGAGUGCAGGAGAGGAAGGUAGAAUUCCCGGUGUAGCGGUGAAAUGCGUAGAGAUCGGGAGGAAUACCAGUGGCGAAGGCGGCCUUCUGGACUGACACUGACACUGAGGUGCGAAAGCGUGGGUAGCAAACAGGAUUAGAUACCCUAGUAGUC